GACGAACGCUGGCGGCGUGCUUAACACAUGCAAGUCGAACGGAAAGGCCCUGCUUUUGUGGGGUGCUCGAGUGGCGAACGGGUGAGUAACACGUGAGUAACCUGCCCUUGACUUUGGGAUAACUUCAGGAAACUGGGGCUAAUACCGGAUAGGAGCCCCUGCUGCAUGGUGGGGGUUGGAAAGUUUCGGCGGUUGGGGAUGGACUCGCGGCUUAUCAGCUUGUUGGUGGGGUAGUGGCUUACCAAGGCUUUGACGGGUAGCCGGCCUGAGAGGGUGACCGGCCACAUUGGGACUGAGAUACGGCCCAGACUCCUACGGGAGGCAGCAGAGGGGAAUAUUGCACAAUGGGCGGAAGCCUGAUGCAGCAACGCCGCGUGCGGGAUGACGGCCUUCGGGUUGUAAACCGCUUUCGCCUGUGACGAAGCGUGAGUGACGGUAAUGGGUAAAGAAGCACCGGCUAACUACGUG
rnacentral:rRNA from 1 species